rnacentral:rRNA from 1 species
AACGAACGCUGGCGGCAUGCCUAACACAUGCAAGUCGAACGAGACCUUCGGGUCUAGUGGCGCCCGGGUGCGUAACGCGUGGUAACCUGCCCUUAGGUUGGGAAUAACUCCCCGAAAGGGGUGCUAAUACCGGAUAAUUUCUUCGUACGACCGGUUUUUUGCCUUUGGAUGGGCCCGCGUUGGAUUAGCUAGUUGGUAGGGUAAAAGCAUACCAAGGCGACGAUCCAUAGCUGGUCUGAGAGGCUGAUCAGCCACGCUGGGACUGAGACACGGCCCAGACUCCUACGCAAGGCAGGAGUGGGGAAUAUUGGACAAUGGGCGAAAGCCUGAUCCAGCAAUGCCGCGUGAGUGAUGAAGGCCGUAGGGUUGUAAAGCUCUUUUACCCGGGAUGAUAAUGACGGUACCGAGAGAAUAAGCUCCGGCUAACUCCGUG